rnacentral:rRNA from 1 species
AGCUCCAAUAGCGUAUAUUAAAGUUGUUGCGUUUAAGAAGCUCGUAGUUGGAUUUCUGCCGAGGACGACUGGUCCGCCCUCUGGGUGAGUAUCUAGUUCGGCCUGGGCAUCUUCUUGGAGAACGUAGCUGCACUUGAUUGUGUGGAAAUUAGAGUGUUUCAAGCAGGCACACGCCUUGAAUACAUUAGCAUGGAAUAUAAAGAUAGGACUUCGGUUCUAUUUUGUUGGUCUCUAGAGCUGAAGUAAUGAUUAAUAAGGAUAUUUGGGGGCAUUCGUAUUUAGCUGUCAGAGGUGAAAUUCUUGGAUUUGUCAAAGACGGAAUACUGCGAAAGCAUUUGCCAAGGAUGUUUUUAUUGAUCAAGAACGGUUAAGAC